rnacentral:lncRNA from 1 species
GCAUAUCCAUUCAGUGAGUUACUUACUUAUGUCAUCCUUAAGUCAUUCACCAGUCAGCCUUAGGGACUAAAGAAACUUUAAGUCAAUUUAAGACCCUGCUUCCAGUGAGGCUAUUUGCGAGUGAAACAUCUUUGUGCUCCUAUAAAGACAAACGUAGUAGCCUUAGCCCCUUCAGACUAAUAGGCUUGCCUUCGGCCUAAAAGCAGGGACUAAACUAGCUGCCUUUUAUUCCUAGCGUUGUUUACCUUCCUGUCUUUCAGACUAGCAGCUUGAAGUCCGCUCUUAAGUGAGUUAAUUCAACUGGAUAUGAGCCUUGAGGAUCCUUGUUUCGAGUGAGACAUUCUGUAAGGCCAUUUUUCACGAGUUUUAAGGCUUUGUUAGCGUUGAGCCUUACUUAAGUGCUUGUUGUUCUAGUGCGCGUAAACAUCAAUUCUGAAGGUUUCGUUAACCUUGCUUUUCUUUUAAGCAAGUCCUGUAAUUGCUUUUAAGCCAGCCCUGUAAUUGGCGUAUUAACUAAGUGAAUACGCCUUACCUUUAUUUAAUGCACGUGUACUACUUCUUUGUUUUGUUUGAUUUAUGACUUGCACGUGUAAGAGGGCUCUCUCCUUCUCUCUCUAAGAGAGAAGUGGUUUUUUGCUCCUUUGUGCAACAUUUUCAAUCGUUCUUGAAGUGCGAAUCAUAACCUAGCCUAUCGUCAUGAACCCUGUCAAGAGUACAGGACUUAUGUCAUAGGCUCCUAUGAUUCAGCACCUUGAACGACAACCCUCGACACUAAAUAAACAUGCCCGAACCAGUAACCAAGGACAUCUUAGUCGCCUCGGCACCAAUCCGUUCCAGUUCCUCCGAGUGCCAAGGGAGAACAUUACACGUAAGUUGCUCUCUCCUUAAUUCCUUGUCUCCCGUCACUUCGGUCAG